UGGGGAAUUUUGGACAAUGGGCGAAAGCCUGAUCCAGCAAUGCCGCGUGUGUGAAGAAGGCCUUCGGGUUGUAAAGCACUUUUGUCCGGAAAGAAAUCCUUGGCUCUAAUACAGUCGGGGGAUGACGGUACCGGAAGAAUAAGCACCGGCUAACUACGUGCCAGCAGCCGCGGUAAUACGUAGGGUGCAAGCGUUAAUCGGAAUUACUGGGCGUAAAGCGUGCGCAGGCGGUUUUGCUAAGACCGAUGUGAAAUCCCCGGGCUCAACCUGGGGAACUGCAUUGGUGACUGGCAGGCUAGAGUAUGGCAGAGGGGGGUAGAAUUCCACGUGUAGCAGUGAAAUGCGUAGAGAUGUGGAGGAAUACCGAUGGCGAAGGCAGCCCCCUGGG
rnacentral:rRNA from 1 species